rnacentral:rRNA from 1 species
GACGAACGCUGGCGGCGUGCUUAACACAUGCAAGUCGAACGGAAAGGCCCUGCUUUUGUGGGGUGCUCGAGUGGCGAACGGGUGAGUAACACGUGAGUAACCUGCCCUUGACUUUGGGAUAACUUCAGGAAACUGGGGCUAAUACCGGAUAGGAGCUCCUGCUGCAUGGUGGGGGUUGGAAAGUUUCGGCGGUUGGGGAUGGACUCGCGGCUUAUCAGCUUGUUGGUGGGGUAGUGGCUUACCAAGGCUUUGACGGGUAGCCGGCCUGAGAGGGUGACCGGCCACAUUGGGACUGAGAUACGGCCCAGGCUCCUACGGGAGGCAGCAGUGGGGAAUAUUGCACAAUGGGAGGAAGCCUGAUGCAGCAACGCCGCGUGCGGGAUGACGGCCUUCGGGUUGUAAACCGCUUUCGCCUGUGACGAAGCGUGAGUGACGGUAAUGGGUGAAGAAGCACCGGCUAACUACGUG